UACGGAGGGUGCAAGCGUUAUCCGGAUUCACUGGGUUUAAAGGGUGCGUAGGUGGGUUUGUAAGCCAGAUGUGAAAUCCCCGGGCUCAACCUGGGAAUGGCAUUUGGGACUGCAAGGCUGGAGUGUGGCAGAGGAGACUGGAAUUCCUGGUGUAGCAGUGAAAUGCGUAGAUAUCAGGAGGAACACCGGUGGCGAAGGCGGGUCUCUGGGCCGAUACUGACGCUGAGGAGCGAAAGCGUGGGGAGCAAACAGG
rnacentral:rRNA from 1 species